rnacentral:rRNA from 1 species
UACAGAGGGGGCAAGCGUUAUUCGGAAUUAUUGGGCGUAAAGGGCGCGUAGGCGGGCUGCCAAGUCUGGGGUGAAAUCCCACGGCUCAACCGUGGAACUGCCUCGGAUACUGGCGGCCUCGAGGGGGGUAGGGGCGUGCGGAACUGUGGGUGGAGCGGUGAAAUGCGUUGAUAUCCACAGGAACUCCGGUGGCGAAGGCGGCACGCUGGACCUCUUCUGACGCUGAGGCGCGAAAGCCAGGGGAGCAAACGGG